rnacentral:rRNA from 1 species
CCUACGGGAGGCAGCAGUGAGGAAUAUUGGUCAAUGGACGAUAGUCUGAACCAGCCAAGUAGCGUGAAGGAUGACUGCCCUAUGGGUUGUAAACUUCUUUUAUAAAGGAAUAAAACGAGGCACGUGUGCCUCUUUGCAUGUACUUUAUGAAUAAGGAUCGGCUAACUCCGUGCCAGCAGCCGCGGUAAUACGGAGGAUCCGAGCGUUAUCCGGAUUUAUUGGGUUUAAAGGGAGCGUAGAUGGGUUGUUAAGUCAGUUGUGAAAGUUUGCGGCUCAACCGUAAAAUUGCAAUUGAUACUGGCAGUCUUGAGUACAGGUGAGGUAGGCGGAAUUCGUGGUGUAGCGGUGAAAUGCUUAGAUAUCACGAAGAACCCCGAUUGCGAAGGCAGCUUACUAGACUGUGACUGACAUUGAUGCUCGAAAGUGUGGGUAUCAAACAGGAUUAGAUACCCUAGUAGUC